rnacentral:rRNA from 1 species
AGUGAACGCUGGCGGUAGGCCUAACACAUGCAAGUCGAACGGCAGCACAGUAAGAGCUUGCUCUUACGGGUGGCGAGUGGCGGACGGGUGAGGAAUACAUCGGAAUCUACUUUUUCGUGGGGGAUAACGUAGUGAAACUUACGCUAAUACCGCAUACGACCUACGGGUGAAAGCAGGGGAUCUUCGGACCUUGCGCGAUUGAAUGAGCCGAUGUCGGAUUAGCUAGUUGGCGGGGUAAAGGCCCACCAAGGCGACGAUCCGUAGCUGGUCUGAGAGGAUGAUCAGCCACACUGGAACUGAGACACGGUCCAGACUCCUACGGGAGGCAGCAGUGGGGAAUAUUGGACAAUGGGCGCAAGCCUGAUCCAGCCAUACCGCGUGGGUGAAUAAGGCCUUCGGGUUGUAAAGCCCUUUUGUUGGGAAAGAAAAGCAGCAGGUUAAUACCCCGCUGUUCUGACGGUACCCAAAGAAUAAGCACCGGCUAACUUCGUG